ensembl:lncRNA
AUGGUGCUAGGAGGGGCUCCUGGGCCCCUGUGUCGGUGUGUGGCGGCAGGCGCGGGUGGCACCAGGCUGAGAUGCUCUGCAGGGCACCGUGGCUGUGGGCUGGGGGCAGGCAGGAUGUGGCCCCCUCCAGCCCUGGGGUCUGAGCUGUGGCCGUGGGCUCCAGCUUGGCCCCAGGGCUGGGUCCCACACGGCCCCGCAGCAUGGGGCGAGUCUCGCGUGGGUCUGCUGCACCGCCGCAGGCCCUGCGUGGUGCUCGGUGUGGGUCCUGCGCGGUCCUGCGCAGCCCUGCAGCGCUGGGGGCAGGUGCGGCGGUGCCCUGCAGCUCCAUUCGCAGGCGCUGCUUGGUGCUGCGCACAUCCUGCAGCGCCAGCUGUGAGCGGCACAGCCCUGCAGUGCUGCCUGCUGCUCCCCCGGGGCCCGCGGCGGCGGGUGGGAGCGCUACACGGCCUUGCAGUGCUGGGUGCGAGUGCUGCACAGCCCUGCAGCACCAUUGGCGAGCCUUGCACGGCCCUGCAGCACUGCCUGCAGGUCCCGCACGGCCAUGCAGCACGGGGUGCAAACCUUGCACGGCCCCGUAGCGCUGUUCGCCCGUCCUGCAUCGCGCUACAGAGCGAGGUGCGAGCCUUGCGUGGCCCUGCAGCGCUGUUUGCGGGUCCCACACGGCCCUGCAGCACGGGGUGCGCACUCGGCACGGCCCUGCAGCGCUGCCUUCAGCUCCUGCACGGCCCUGCAGCGCCAGGCGCAAGCCUUGCUCGGCCCUGCGGCGAUGUCUGCAGGUUGUGCGGCGCCGGCAGCAAGCCUUGCACGGCCCUGCAGUACCGGGCACGAGCCCCGUGCGCCCUGGCAGCGCCGCUCGCGGGUCCCCCCGGACCCUGCGGCGCGUUCCGUGGGACCCGCUCACCCCACAGCACCUCCUGUGGGUCCGGUCCCCGGUGCAGCACCGAGCACAAGUCGCAUGCAGCUCCCGGCCCCGCCGCCGCGCGGGGGCUCCUCCGCCCACCCCAGGCGCCCGUGCCUGGGCCGCCCGGGCUGGGCAGAGGGGCCGGGGCCGCGGCCGGUGCCGGUGCCGGCGGGAAGCAGGUUCCUGCCGCGGCACAACUGGAAGGCGCCGGGGCUGCUCGGGGCACCGGCACCCCUGCGGCGGCCGCAGGGUCUCUGUGGGACCGUGGGGAUGCGUGGGGAAAGAGUUCAGUUUUUAACGUACCCGACUCACGUCUUUUUUUAAAACAAACAGACAAAUUUUGUUGCACAGCCCUAGAUUUAAACAGUUAA